AUACUAACCGGCAGGGAGAUCCCAGACAAGAAGUUGGUUCACCCCCAGGCGAGGCUUAAACCAUUGCACCCCGUUUAUGCGACCCCUGCAAUUCCCAAAUGUGGAAUCUCGACUGCAUAAUUGUGGUAUUUGGGGGACUGCGUUCGCGCUCCCCUGAA